AAAAGAAAAGUCAAAACUACUUCGGGAGAGAAGUUAAUUGCUUCUUAAAUUGGCCAAACUUGCAUGGAUUGGCUUAGUAAUAUGCGGAGUAUGGUUACCAUUUUUAGGCUUAUUCUACAAAAUGGACAAGGGAUUUAUUUAGUGCUUCUGAGCUUCAAGUGAGCAUUGUUAGACAAGUGCUCAUUUUCUACAUUCGUAGUGUUUAUUCAAGUAACAUUUUGGCUAUUCUUUGUUUCAUUCACUGGUCAGUAUUCCAAAAAGAGUUUAAGUUACACACCGUCAGCGUAAUGAUUUUUUAUACUACCAGGUCAUCCAAAGGAUAUUGGUAAGCCUCCUUAAAAUGUGGUAUAAUCUUGUAAAUAUGAUAAGCUACCUGCGACAACAGAUAAAGGUGACUUGAUAGUGUAUAAUACACUGACGGUGUAUAACUUAAACUCAUUCCAAAAUUGAAUUCGUCCUAAUAGUUUCUUGCAUAUGGAUGUCCACUCUGCAUUUGUCGUAACAUUCACCAAUUAUGUAUUUUCAUAUGAAGGCAACAAGUAUAUUGCAUAAUAUAUGUUCAGCUGAACUUAUUACUCCACCUCACAAUUGAACUCUAACCUAAAGUUACUAAUUCUUUAGUGGAUGUAUAUUUUUAAAAAAAAAAUGAAUAAAUAGAUCACAUGAGUGCCUAUAAAUACUUGAUCAAAAAGAAAAAGAAAACAUAUUACGUAAAUGUGAAAAACAAGUCCGUUGUCGGUAACUAGUAAUGAAACCUUCUUAAGUAUGUAAUUUUU
rnacentral:lncRNA from 1 species